ensembl:snoRNA SNORD58 Small nucleolar RNA SNORD58
UUGCUGUAAUGACAGAGGACACCUUGGAUUGAUGGUGAAAUAAACCAUGUUCUAAGAAGC